rnacentral:misc_RNA from 1 species
GAUGAAGAACGUAGCGAAAUGCGAUAAGUAGUGUGAAUUGCAGAAUUCAGUGAAUCAUCGAAUCUUUGAACGCACAUUGCGCCCCUUGGUAUCCCGAGGGGCAUGCCUGUUCGAGCGUCAUUUCACCACUCAAGCCUGGCUUGGUGUUGGGCGACGUCCUCUUUGGGGACGCGCCUCGAAACGCUCGGCGGCGUGGCACCGGCUUUAAGCGUAGCAGAAUCUUUCGCUUUGGAAGUCGGGGCCCCGUCUGCCGGAAGACCUGCUCGCAAGGUUGACCUCGGAUCAGGCAGGGAUACCCGCUGAACUUAAGCAUAUCAAUAAGCGGGGA